GGGGCUGUAGCUCAAUUGGGAGAGCGAUUGAAUGGCAUUCAAUAGGUAGGGGGUUCGAAUCCCCCCAGCUCCACCA
rnacentral:tRNA from 1 species